UUCUAGUUCAGUUCAUGCUCGGUUGUCUUGCUGUUAGCAAUGACCAUUGAGUCCAAGUCCCCCUAAAUGUAUAUUUUUCAUUUUAACUAAAUUAAUACAAGAUCCAUUUAAAUAAAUGACGGUCAGAUAGGCGCCGUUGUAUGGAAAUGAGAGAAAUAUAAACUCUUUGAUAGUAAUCGCUGUUUUUUCGACACCUACGGUGGCCGUGAAAUUCGCGAAACGUCUCUCCCACAGCGUGUAGGUUUGUCCGCUUUGAUCACUUGUAAAAAAAUGGCGGUUGCCGUUGAUGUCUACGGUAAUGAAAACAGUGUUUACAUCUUUUUUACAUAUAUUCAUGUAAUUAUUUUACAGCUAAGAAAAUUGAUUUAAUGUUGAUUUCCUCUCCAGUUUCUCUUCAUCGAUCCCCGAAAUCUAAUCACCCACGCUUGGCUCUUCAGUCCCUCUACAGCCGUUAGCUGUGAGUAUGAUUACACUGUUCUGGGUUCAGUUCAGCAAACACCCCUAACAGAUCUUGCCCAUGUGAUAAAUAUAAGAUUAUAAAACGACACGGUGUAGUUUUGCUUUUAAAGUUAAGACCAAUUUGUUGUCUUUCCUGUGUGACUCUUGUCUGAUUUUGUCGAACUUCACCCUGCUGUCGGUUUUCUCAGUUGAGACUUGCAGAGGACUGAUGGGUGUUUCCCGCUUCAUUCACCAUCCACCCCUGCAGCUAUUCAUUCCUUUUACCUGGUUUAAUGCGAGGCGAGGCUGCACAAAAAUGUGUUUAAGCGGCUGUGGAGGCUGCCUGUGUAUUUCUGUGACCCCUGGCUAUGGUGCUGUAUGACUCCCCAGGGCUCGUUUUUAAUGUGCCUCUGCUCUGUGUGUUCUGGGCAGGUGGCUCCUUGUAAAAGUGACGAUCAUGGGGGGAAAUGGAAAACCUCACUGGUUUCAGACUCUCCUUCAACUUCUCAGAUGGGUUGCAUAAGUCCAUUGACAGUACAAAGUGUUGUAAAUUUCACUCUGACCUCAUUAAAUCA